rnacentral:rRNA from 1 species
UAGGGAAUCUUCCCCUUNNGGACGGAAGUCUGACCGAGCAACGCCGCGUGAGUGAAGAAGGUUUUCGGAUCGUAAAGCUCUGUUGUAAGAGAAGAACGAGUGUGAGAGUGGAAAGUUCACACUGUGACGGUAUCUUACCAGAAAGGGACGGCUAACUACGUGCCAGCAGCCGCGGUAAUACGUAGGUCCCGAGCGUUGUCCGGAUUUAUUGGGCGUAAAGCGAGCGCAGGCGGUUAGAUAAGUCUGAAGUUAAAGGCUGUGGCUUAACCAUAGUACGCUUUGGAAACUGUUUAACUUGAGUGCAAGAGGGGAGAGUGGAAUUCCAUGUGUAGCGGUGAAAUGCGUAGAUAUAUGGAGGAACACCGGUGGCGAAAGCGGCUCUCUGGCUUGUAACUGACGCUGAGGCUCGAAAGCGUGGGGAGCAAACAGGAUUAGAUACCCUGGUAGUCCACGCCGUAAACGAUGAGUGCUAGGUGUUAGACCCUUUCCGGGGUUUAGUGCCGCAGCUAACGCAUUAAGCACUCCGCCUGGGGAGUACGACCGCAAGGUUG